AUUGAACGCUGGCGGCAGGCCUAACACAUGCAAGUCGAACGGUAACAGGAAGAAGCUUGCUUCUUUGCUGACGAGUGGCGGACGGGUGAGUAAUGUCUGGGAAACUGCCUGAUGGAGGGGGAUAACUACUGGAAACGGUAGCUAAUACCGCAUAACGUCGCAAGACCAAAGAGGGGGACCUUCGGGCCUCUUGCCAUCGGAUGUGCCCAGAUGGGAUUAGCUAGUAGGUGGGGUAACGGCUCACCUAGGCGACGAUCCCUAGCUGUCUGAGAGGAUGACCAGCCACACUGGAACUGAGACACGGUCCAGACUCCUACGGGAGGCAGCAGUGGGGAAUAUUGCACAAUGGGCGCAAGCCUGAUGCAGCCAUGCCGCGUGUAUGAAGAAGGCCUUCGGGUUGUAAAGUACUUUCAGCGGGGAGGAAGGGAGUAAAGUUAAUACCUUUGCUCAUUGACGUUACCCGCAGAAGAAGCACCGGCUAACUCCGUG
rnacentral:rRNA from 1 species